rnacentral:rRNA from 1 species
UACAGAGGUCUCAAGCGUUGUUCGGAUUCAUUGGGCGUAAAGGGCGCGUAGGCGGCGGGGUAAGUCUGGUGUGAAAUCUCGGAGCUCAACUCCGAAAUUGCACUGGAUACUGCUCUGCUAGAGGGCUGGAGAGGAGAUCGGAAUUCACGGUGUAGCGGUGAAAUGCGUAGAUAUCGUAAGGAAGACCAGUGGCGAAGGCGGGUCUCUGGACAGUUCCUGACGCUGAGGCACGAAGGCCAGGGGAGCAAACGGG